AGAAUUAAUGGUUAAAGGAUUCAAAAAGAAAUCUGAUAUGUCAAAGAAUGAAAUAAGUCAACUGAGAGAAGAGAUGGAAAGAACAAGAAGGAAACCCUCACUGUUUGUUCAAAUCCUUGACACAGUUGUUUGAGCCUACUCACCACAGACCCACAGGACAGUUUGGUGAAGCAAACCUGAACUCUCAUCAGGACAAAGUUUUAGAGAAAGUGGAAGCCCAACCUGGCAAGCAUCUAAGUUAGUGACUUUGGAAGCUGUCAGUCCUCAGGUCAAUUAGCCAAUUCUUCACCGUUAAUAUAGAAAAUAUUACUCCUAGAGAAAGUACCCAAGGAGCUAAAGGG